rnacentral:tRNA from 1 species
AGUACCACGCCGGAUGAACGGAAAUCAUUGAUGUUGAUUAAUAUGUGGCAAUGAAGUCUCUGGUGCUA